rnacentral:rRNA from 1 species
UACGUAGGGUGCAAGCGUUAAUCGGAAUUACUGGGCGUAAAGCGUGCGCAGGCGGUUGUGCAAGACAGAUGUGAAAUCCCCGGGCUCAACCUGGGAAUUGCGAUGGAGACUGCAAGGCUGGAGUCUGGCAGAGGGGGGUAGAAUUCCACGUGUAGCAGUGAAAUGCGUAGAGAUGUGGAGGAACACCGAUGGCGAAGGCAGCCCCCUGGGUCAAGACUGACGCUCAUGCACGAAAGCGUGGGGAGCAAACAGG